CGGGCCUAACACAUGCAAGUCGAACGAGAAAACCUUCGGGUGAGUACAGUGGCGCACGGGUGAGGAACGCGUAGGUAAUCUACCCUCUGGCGGGGGACAACACUCCGAAAGGAAUGCUAAUACCGCAUAAGACCACACUUACCUCGGUGAGAGUGGUAAAAGGCGCCUCAAAGCGCCACCAGAGGAUGAGCCUGCGUCCCAUCAGCUUGUUGGUAAGGUAACGGCUUACCAAGGCUAAGACGGGUAGCUGGUCUGAGAGGAUGAUCAGCCACACUGGCACUGGAACACGGGCCAGACUCCUACGGGAGGCAGCAGUGAGGAAUAUUGGGCAAUGGGCGAAAGCCUGACCCAGCCACGCCGCGUGUGUGAUGAAGGCCUUCGGGUCGUAAAGCACUGUGGGGAGAGACGAAAAUGCGCAGGAGGAAAUGCUUGCGUACUGACGGUACCUCCUUAGCAAGCACCGGCUAACUCUGUGCCAGCAGCCGCGGUAAUACAGAGGGUGCAAACGUUGCUCGGAUUUACUGGGCGUAAAGCGCGUGUAGGCGGACUCGCAAGUCGGUUGUGAAAUCCCUGGGCUCAACCUAGGAACUGCAUCCGAAACUGCGGGUCUUGAGUAAUGGAGAGGGUGGCGGAAUUCCCGGUGUAGAGGUGAAAUUCGUAGAUAUCGGGAGGAACAUCAGUGGCGAAGGCGGCCACCUGGACAUUCACUGACGCUGAGACGCGAAAGCGUGGGGAGCAAACAGGAUUAGAUACCCUGGUAGUCCACGCCGUAAACGAUGAGAACUAGGUGCAGCGGAUAUUGACCUCUGCUGUGCCGUAGCUAACGCGUUAAGUUCUCCGCCUGGGGAGUACGGCCGCAAGGCUAAAACUCAAAGGAAUUGACGGGGGCCCGCACAAGCAGUGGAGCAUGUGGUUUAAUUCGAAGCAACGCGCAGAACCCUUACCAGGCUAGAAAAACUGAGAAUCCUGACGAAACUCGGGAGUGCUCGCAAGAGA
rnacentral:rRNA from 1 species